rnacentral:tRNA from 1 species
ACCCCCGUGGUGCAAUGGAUUAGCUUGUUGGACUUCUAAUUCAAAGGUUGUGGGUUCGAGUCCCAUCGGGGGUG